UACGGGGGGGGCAAGCGUUGUUCGGAAUUACUGGGCGGAAAGGGCUCGUAGGUGGCCAACUAAGUCAGACGUGAAAUCCCUCGGCUUAACCGGGGAACUGCGUCUGAUACUGGAUGGCUUGAGUUUGGGAGAGGGAUGCGGAAUUCCAGGUGUAGCGGUGAAAUGCGUAGAUAUCUGGAGGAAUACCGGUGGCGAAGGCGGCAUCCUGGACCGGCAUUGACGCUGAGGAGCGAAAGCUAGGGGAGCAAACGGG
rnacentral:rRNA from 1 species